AGAGGGUGUUUGUCAGCGAGAGUGACACAAUGUGUGUGUGUGAAAGGGAGCAGGUUUGUCAUUAGACAGCGGUGGAGCAGUCGCUGAAAGUUUUUGUUUCUCUGAUUUUUGCCACAGCUGGCAAAGUAUUGAAGUAACCCGUUCUCUCAGGUAAUGCAGAAUUAAACCGUGCAUGGCUUCCUGUGCACCACAUGGUCUACAGGAGGUUUAUUUAAAACGGAUGACCUCUGAGAGGCUACAGCCUGAAGAAAACUUCACUCAGGAAAAUGGAGGAAUUUCGACAUGAAAGACGCAGGAAGUCAGUGACACAAAAUCAAAGCCAAACACGCAGGUUUAGGUUGUAUUAAAUGUUCUAGAUGUUUUAUUGGUGUUGGUUUCAUUUAUUUGACACACAAUAUUUCUACAAGUUUUGUAUGACUGUAUUUUUUCUUCUUCAAUCUCAUCCCUUUCUGUGGUCUGGGAUGGACCCAGCUGAGACUGCUGGCCCCCUUCGACUGGUCUCCAACACGCAAGUGUGCACAGAUCUGAGCCGGACUUAUCGGGAUCAGGACCUGGGGCCUGUAAGAAGGGCCCCAGGCGCAUGGACUCAUACUGUCGCCACUCGAACUACAUCGCAGCACACUUUCACCACAUCAUACCUGCACACAUGCCUUGAUGGGGAACCUGAAGCCUUUUGGUUUGAUAAACACAGCCUGACACCCUGCUUUGCUGUUACACUGAAGAUUAGCCUCUUGAGAAACCAGGAAAAAAAAACAAAAACAACAAAAAACAAAAAAAA